rnacentral:pre_miRNA from 1 species
GGUCGUAUGCAUGACGUCAUUUACUUCGAUGAUUGGAGUGACAUCAUAUGUACGGCUGC